rnacentral:rRNA from 1 species
UUAUUAAUAAAGGGUGAAAUCGAUUUUUUGAUGUGAUAAUAAAUAAGUUGAUUUGAAUUAAGUUAAAGUUGUUAAGGUAAAGGUAUGAACCAGGAUUAGAUACCCUGUUACACUUUAUUAAAAAUUAAAAUACCUGGGUAUUAAACAGUUAUUGGCUUGAAACUCAAAGGAUUUGGCGGUAGUUUAGUCCAUUUAGAGGAACCUGUUCUGUGAUCGAUAGUCCACGAAAAAUCUUACUUUGCUUUGUAUGGUUUCAGUUUGUAUACCGUCAUUAUUAGAUAACUUUAAUAAAAUUUUAGUUGUUGAAAUAGUUUUUAUUUAAUAUAUUAGAUCAAGGUGCAGCUUAUGGUAAAGGAGAAAUGGGUUACAUUAAUAUAAAUAUUUAAUACGAAUUAAAAAAAGAAUAUUUUUAUGAAGGUGGAUUUAAUAGUAAAGAAAUUUUAAUAAGGUUUCUUGAUUGUGGCUCUAGACUAUGUACACAUUGCCCGUCGCUCUCGUUAAUUAAAGC